rnacentral:rRNA from 1 species
UACGUAGGGGGCGAGCGUUGUCCGGAUUCAUUGGGCGUAAAGCGCUUUAAGGCGGUUCGCUAAGUCGGGUGUGAAACCUCCAGGCUCAACCUGGAGACGCCACUCGAUACUGGCGUGACUAGAGUCCGGUAGGGGACCACGGAAUUCCUGGUGUAGCGGUGAAAUGCGCAGAUAUCAGGAGGAACACCAGUGGCGAAGGCGGUGGUCUGGGCCGAAACUGACGCUGUAGAGCGAAAGCGUGGGGAGCGAACAGG